rnacentral:tRNA from 1 species
GGGGGCUUAGAUCAGCUGGGAGAGCGCCUGCUUUGCACGCAGGAGGUCAGCGGUUCGAUCCCGCUAGUCUCCACCA